CCCGGCAGCUGAGCUGGUGAAGAACCUGCCUGCAAUGCAGGAGACCCUGGUUUGAUUCCUGGGUUGGGA
rnacentral:tRNA from 1 species